ACCAGACCAAUGCAAAUAAAAUUAUCGCCAUUGGAAUAUGGUUGGAGGAAUGUUACAAUGGAUGACAGAAGCAUUGAAUCAGAUCUUAUUGGAAAAGAUAAAUUUGAAAGUUUUGAAACCUGGAUUUUGGAAAACAAAAUGAUAACUUGUAUGACCAGUAAUUUAGCACGUAAGACUAAAAUCAAUUCAUUUAUAGUAACUGGGAAUGGAAAUGGAUUGGCUGGAUUUGUGUUAUCAAAAGCCAAAGCAUCCCUACGAUUAAAAAUAGGGCUGGUCAAAGAUUAAUGUAUAUUCCUACAUAUAAGGAACACACUGUGUUACAUGAUUUCUUUACACAGUUUGAGAAUAUAAAAAUAUUUGUAAAGAAAAUUCAUGAAGGAUAAUGGGCUUGUUUGUCAUCAUGCAAUAAAAGCAUGUUGCGAGAUAAUUGGCAUAAAGGAUAUGUAUGCCAAAGUACAAGGAGGAAUGUAAAAACAUUCUUUGGUUGGUUUAUUGCAAUAGGUGUGAAUAUAAAGUAUUUAAAGGCAUAUUAUACUUUUUAUUUAAUUUAUAUUAG